UUUUGUCUCUUUUAGAUUUGCAAGUUCCUAAAUCUCAUUGUUUUUUUUUUGUUUUUCUAUAUUAAGAAAAUCAAAUUAUUGACAACCCUUUGAAAUUGAGAUUGCUUUUUUACUUUACUAUUUAUUCUUUAGUCUGUUCCAUUUAAACAUUUUACUAACUUUUUAAUGUGCCACUUAAACAUUAAAAUCUUACGAGGCACUUCGCAUGCGAAUCACAUAUAAUGAAAGCGUGAACAUACAAACAUAAUCUGACUGGAUUAUUUCAACGAUAAAAAUUCAAAGCCCUAUGUUAUAUUAACCCUUUUUUCCCUUUCCUCUUCUUCAAUCCAAAUUUCCCUAUCAAAAUUGAAUUUUUUUCCUCCAAUUUGAAAGAUCCACGUCCUCCUUCUUCGAUUUCAGUUGAAGUUAUUUUUACAUCUUCUCUCUCUCAGAUUGUUGUUUGACAACAAAAACUACCCAGUAUAGUCCCACAAAGUGGGUCUGGGGAGGGUAAUAUGUAGAUGGGUCUUACCCCUACCCGAAAGAGCAGAGAGGCUGUUUCCAAUCGAUCCUCGGCUCAGUGAAGGAAAGGAACAACAGAUUGUUUCUUGACAAUGUCUGUAAAUUUAGAUAGGACUGAUUCAUGCCGAUGUGGUCGGGCAUGUGUUUUGAAAAUCUCAUAGGGUUCGACAAACCUAGGCGGGAGGUAUUUUGUAUGCAAAAAUAGUGUAGUAAGUAUAUUUUUCGAUAAUCUUUUUUUCUUUCUUUGAUCUUAAUAUUUGUAUGAAUUUGCAAUUUUUUACAUUGAUUUAGUUGGAUAUGUUUAAAGGACAAAUAAGGAUGUAACUACUUUAGAUGGUUUGAGGAGGCAUUUUCUGACCGAACAAAUAAAGUGAUUUGGAUUUUAUUGAAGAGAGUCAAGGCCUUUGAUCAAGAAAGGGAAUGAAGGGAACGAGCUAGACAUUGGAGAAAUAAGUUAUUGUUUGUUGUUAUACUACUUGUCGUAAUUUUUGGCUGUGAUGUUAUUCUUGCAUUGUUGAUGCCAACAAAAUUCAAAAGUGAUUGAAGGUGGUUGAUAGUGUAAAAGUGGAAUAGUUACUAGUGUUCUUUGACUUUGAGAAUUUUUUUUAUAGUUGCUGCCUUUUGUUGUUUAGACGUUGUCUGUGUAAUUUAUGUAAUAAGUUGUUCUAGGAUGUUUACAACAUAUUUAGUUGUUGAUGUAAUUUACAAUGUUUGAUUAAUAUUUUGGUUGAAUUGGUUCUAAGAAACAGUUGUUGGAAUUCUCA
rnacentral:lncRNA from 1 species